rnacentral:rRNA from 1 species
UACGUAGGGGGGCUAGCGUUGUCCGGAAUUAUUGGGCGUAAAGAGCUCGUAGGCGGUUUGUCGCGUCUGCUGUGAAAACUCGGGGCUUAACUCCGGGCCUGCAGUGGGUACGGGCAGACUAGAGUGCGGUAGGGGAGACUGGAAUUCCUGGUGUAGCGGUGAAAUGCGCAGAUAUCAGGAGGAACACCGGUGGCGAAGGCGGGUCUCUGGGCCGUAACUGACGCUGAGGAGCGAAAGCGUGGGGAGCGAACAGG